GACGCGGCGGCGGCGGCGCCGGAUGCUCUCCGCAGCACGUUGGGCGGCGUGUAUCACACGGUUCCUACCGUGUCGGGCUGCUAGCAGGGGACGCCCGCGCGACGACCCCAGAAUGGCCCCAAAACACAAGCCGGGCUUGCAGACCAGAAGCGGAGAAGAAACAUGCGGGCCGGUAGCGCGAGACAGGAGCGGGGCGGUGACCAUCACGGUGCACGCGAAGCCCGGGGCCAGAAGGAGCUCCGUUACAGAAGUUUCCCCGGAGGCGGUGGGCAUUUCCAUUGCAGCACCUCCAGCUGACGGAGCAGCCAACACAGAACUGGUUCGUUACCUGGCCCAGGUUCUGGACCUGAGGAGAACCCAUGUUGUCCUUGACAAGGGCUCCAGGUGUCGGGACAAACUGGUGAAGGUGACGACCUCCCUGAGUCCAGAGGAGGUCCUGAGGAGGCUGAAGGAGGAGUCAGGAGGAGGAGGAGCUCCUUCCUGACAGCUGUGUUGUCAUAGAGACACAAUAGAUGAAUGGCCUUGGGGCAUGAUUUAAUAAAGUAUUGUGAAUAAUUUGUAUCCGGCCAAUCACCCCACUCUUGCGAGCUGUCCCGGUCCCUGCUCCCCCCCCCUCUGCUGAUCCUGGUUUUAUUAUGUAAACGAUCUGUUAGUGUGAAGGCCUACGACUCUGCUGGGC